GAAAAAGAAAGAAAUUACAGUGAAAAAAUAUGAAUCAUUUUAAUAGACUUGGAGUUGUUUUCAGGUCUCAGAAGCAUAUUAUCAACCAGGUUAGCUAUAUACUUAUAAUUAACAACAUAAAAUUUCCAAAGUUUCUUCUUCGAAUGUGGACCAAGCCAUUUAUAUCAUCUCGAAGAAGGAAUAAAUCUUUCAAAGUUUCAAACCAAAGCGGUUAUUUGAGAUACUCUUGAACAUAAAUUCUAGAUAUAACAAAUUCAUCGUAUAAUACAGCCUCCACAACGGUGACCCAAUUUAGAACAAAUCAAUGUUUAAGAUUCUACCUCACUGUAUUCAAAUUUUGUUUUCAUCAUAAUUAGAUUUAAAUUUGUCCUAGUUCUUUUAUUAAAUCCUACUAGUAUUGAUUCCCGAAUCUAUUCAGCCUGAGCAUGCCUAUUUCUGCUAUAACAGUUAGCUAGGGAGAAGCUUAAUUUUGUUCCAUUGGAUAGUCAAGAACAAUUCUUCUUAAAUUCAGUAGAAUAUUGGGUACGUGUGUGUGUUGAUUGUUUGCUGCACCACUGUGUGCUUAAUAUUGCUUCGGUCAGCUCCUCCUCUCGAUGUUACUUUGGUACAGUUCUCAUAGUAGUGGUAUGUGAGUGAGUUGGUUUGUGUGCGUAAUGAUGAAACUGAGGAUGAUGCUCUGGGAUUGAAUUUGGUGAUGGUACUGGUAUGCAGAUUAGAGUUCUCUUUGUUGAGUUUGUAUACACUCGGUAUGCACCCUAGUAUUCAGUUUGCAUAUGUGUUCAGUAUGCGACCUAUUUUUCUUCUAUCUUUUAUGCUUCUUGAAUAAUUCAGUUGAAGUUCAACUUCAAUGGUGCUUUUGUACUUUUAUUUUGUAUGUGAAUGAAUAAUCAAAACUGUUAUGGCCUUCCGGAGAAUAAUCAAAGGUUAAUAAUACAGUUGAAGACCAGUCAUGUUGGAAUACAACCUAGAAAUUUUUUUUCAAUAAGUUGCUUUAGCUAUUGUGUGAAUUGAAUGAGACAAGGUAAAGCUGAGAGGGAAGAUUGCAUAAGUGCUAAUAAUGCUGAGAUAGUGGAGAUGGUAAAUGUGAUAAGACUUCUUGUUAAUUGCUUUUCUUAUGCAUGAUAUACGAGUUUUGCUGAAGAUUUCUGGCAUACGUGUGCGAAUUUGGUUCAGAUUCUUAUUUUAACAACUGCUGCUGGUGCUGCUACAGAGAUUUAUUUAGUUUGUAAGCUGCUGCUAGAACUUGUGCACUAUACAAUCUGGUUGUUACAAAGUGUUAAAUCCGUGCUUCCUAGUUCUACUAUCUCUAUAGCUACAACGUUCAGCUGCAGUCAAGUUCUUCAUCUUAAAUUCCUGCUCCAGGUGCUUGGAAAUGCAUACCUACAAGUUUUAUUGCAGAUUUUUGUUGCUGUUAUACUGCGUAUUUGACGCGAACAACUAGUCCAAUGCAGUCAGACUUGGUUUGCAAUUUCACUUCUGUCUACUAAAAUUACUACUGCAACAACUCAUGGUUAUAUUACACUGCAAGUUUUCCGACUCGGCAAGUGUCAUUGUGAUUGCCUAUAUACUGCAGCAUAUUAUAUAUCUCAUUAUGGUUUUUACAACGAGUUCAAGCUAUUCCCUCUUUGUUUUGGUUUGCUAAUGGUACUGGGAAUGAGCUUGUUGUUACUGUUGUUACCACUCUGCACCAAGGUUCUUCAUUCUGAUAUCUAAGAAGUUUCAGUUGCUUUUGGUUGGUGCUGGAAUGUGCCGGAAUGUUCUCCUUAAGAGUUCGAGUUGUCUGAUGGGGUGCUAAUGAUAGUGGACAUGGCUUUGCUUCUUUUUCUGUUUUGCUAGUGGUCGACUACAGCUACAUAGUUGCUUACUACAGCUCUUAAUGGUUUAUUUUCUCAACAUGAAUUCCAUUCAGGUAUGAGUUCAGGUCCUCCGUCUACUACAUGGUUUAUUUUUGUUCUCAAAUCUACUAGAAUCUUCUCCCUGUGCUUACUGCACAUGCAUAUUAAACCUGCAUCAACUUUUCCUUUUGUACAUUGUGCUUCUACAACUACUUGUCCUGUUCUGAACUGCUUCAAGAACUGCCUCCAACUGCAACCACUUCCUACUAGGCUGUCUGCAUUUCUUAUUCACCAUUGUUGCUGCUGUUGUGUUUGUACUUAUGCCAGUGAAGUCUUUUUCUGCAGCAACAUAGUUUUCCUGUUUCUGCACAAGUUGAGAGAGUCUGUAUUCAAUCGCGAGUUGUCUUUCAACCGACAUGCGAUUGAGGGUGGGUAUUGGCAUAAGUUGAGAGAGUCUGUGUAUGUGUGGUGCAAUCAUGUGAGCUGAGAGAUUUGUAAACGAGUGAACAACACGUGAGUGUCUUUAAUAGAAUUGAGUCGAGAGAGGAAGAGCUAUAUAAACUCUUCUCUUGUGUAUGUAAUAAACAUCUUUCUUUAUAUCAAUUCAUUGAUCAAACCGUA